CAUCCUAAGGAGCAGUGCAAGUUGAAAUGGGCUUCGAGUCAACAACUUCAACAGCAAUUUGCCUUGAAAAUCAGCAAGAAAGGUACUUCAUUUACAUUGAUGAUGUCAUAUCCCCUGGACCCCACAACUUUACAGGUUACAGAGAAAAUUCAAGAACUUCUGCACAAUGUGGGACUUGGAUAGAAUCAAUAAUGUAUUUGUGAGCCCAGCUAUAUUGUGCAACAUACUAAAGUGUGAAUUUAAUUGAAAACAAGUACAUGUACUCAUGUAUACUAUUAUAUGUCUUUCUUAAAGACAAUAAUAUUGCAUAAAUGUAGAUGAAGUGUCAUUGUUGAUUAUUCUAAGUUUUUGAUAUAUCAAAAUCAGUAAACAUUUCUAAAUGAAAAUAAAAUACCAAUUUUAUAACUUUUAA